CUCGUUGGUUAGGUCAAAGCAGAAAAAUCUCAUCACCGACGAGACCAGAGAUGAUUGGCAAGGAAGAGCAAACUGAUAAGAACUGUGAUUGGGUUAAAAUGGCGGAUUGAUUACCAAUUGUUGCAGUCACCAUUACAAUCGUGUACAGCGUAAAAGCCUCUCUCCAAUUCACGCGCACAAUUCUAGCCACAAUUAUAAACAACCCUUCUUCUCCUACUCUCGAGACUGCCUUUUUCGUUUUUCCCCCAUGCUGUUUACCUCAUCACCAUCAUCAUCUUCUUCUUGGGGGGACAGAGAUUGUGUUUGGAAGUAGAAUUUCUGCGUUUUUGUCUCUAAAUGGCUGAUGUUUUUAGAUUUUCCUCGCAUUCUUUCUGUUUCCCAUCCACUUCUUUCCCUGCCUCCAUUGCUUCAUCCUGCAAUUCUAUUCAGACUUGUUUUCCACCCAUUCAAAGCUCGGAUAAGAGGUCGACUUCUCUGCCGCGCUACUCUACUAGCUUUGUAAUGCCUCUUUCUUUCACACCCAGAAAGAGGUUGGUAUCUUUCAAGGUACAGGCAGCUGUGGCUGAAAAAGACCAGCCAAAAUGGUGGGAAAAGAGUGCACCAAACAUGAUUGAUAUACAUUCGACACAGGAAUUUUUAACUGCAUUGAGUGAAUCUGGUGAUAGAUUAGUUAUUGUAGAUUUUUACGGAACCUGGUGUGCUUCCUGCAGGGCAUUAUUUCCCCGGCUAUGCAGAACAGCUGAUGAGCACCCUGAGAUUUUAUUCCUGAAAGUCAACUUUGAUGAAAACAAGCAAAUGUGCAAAAGUUUGAAUGUCAAGGUCCUUCCUUAUUUCCAUUUUUAUCGUGGAGCUGAUGGACAAUUGGAGUCCUUCUCAUGCUCACUCGCAAAGUUCCAGAAAAUUAAAGAUGCAAUUAAAAUGCACAACACAGCUCGUUGCAGCAUUGGGCCGCCAAGAGGAGUAGGAGAUCUUGUACUGGAGCCCUCCUUGAGUCCCAAGGACAAACAACAAACAGAAGCUUCUUCAUCAUAGACUUGCUCCCAAAUGCCCAUCGAGGCUUGCAUAUUCUUAAAAUUUAGUCCAGAAUCUGUCAGAUCUCUACUGUACUUUAAGUUACUGCUAGGUAUCAUUCAUAAUGAAACUCUCUUUUACGUCUGCAUGGUCUUGCAUGUCAAAGAAGCGGUAGUUUCGCCGUUCGUGUCGGUCAAUGGCUAAAUUUUGAUGGCUCUGUCGAUUUAAUCUCUAAAUUGUUCAGUGUUUUAGUUACAUUUCAUUACUUUAUUUCUCAACUUUUAAAUGUGAUUUUAUCCUCUAAUCUUUGGUAAUAAUAUAAAUUGAUUUGUUUA